rnacentral:rRNA from 1 species
GAUGAACGCUUUCUUCUUUCCUAAUACAUGCAAGUCGAGCGAACAGACGAGGAGCUUGCUCCUCUGACGUUAGCGGCGGACGGGUGAGUAACACGUGGAUAACCUACCUAUAAGACUGGGAUAACUUCGGGAAACCGGAGCUAAUACCGGAUAAUAUAUUGAACCGCAUGGUUCAAUAGUGAAAGACGGUUUUGCUGUCACGUAUAGAUGGAUCCGCGCCGCAUUAGCUAGUUGGUAAGGUAACGGCUUACCAAGGCAACGAUGCGUAGCCGACCUGAGAGGCUGAUAUGCCACAAUGGAACUCAGACACGGUCCAGACUCCUACGGGUGGCAGCAGUAGGGACUCUUCCGCCAUGGGCGAAAGCCUGACGGAGCAACGCCGCGUGAGUGAUGAUGGUCUUCGGAUCGUAAAACUCUGUUAUUAGGGAAGAACAACUGUGUCAGUAACUCUGCACGUCUUGACGGUACCUAAUCAGAAAGCCACGACUAACUCCGUG